ACACAGAAGAGAGAAGGCCAUGCGCUAGUCUCAGCAGAGAGGAAGAGGGAGAGAUUUGAAGAUGCUGCCCUGCAGACUUUGAAGAUGGAGGAAGGGGCUCUGAGCCAAGGAGCAUCAGCAGAGCAGCUCCAGAAGCUGGAAAAGGAAGGAAACCAUUCUCCUCUAGAGCCUCUGGUGGGACCACGACUUUGCUGGACCUUGGUUUCAGCCCAGUGUAACUGAUCUCAUACUUCUGAUUUCUAUGGCUAUAAGAGAGUAACCCUGUGUUGUUAAAGCCACCCAGCUUGUGGUAGUUUGUUACAGCAGCCAUAGGAAACUAAUACACCACCUCCAGUCCAUCCUGCACAUUUUGGCCAGAUUAAUGUUUGUCAAACACAGCUCUGUCAAAGCCCCUUCAUCAAAUCAAUUUAAUAGUUCAAUUCUGCUUCCUAAACACUGUUGAGUAUCUCCUAAGGGGCAAGUUCUAUGCUGUUUCUGGGGAUGCAGACAUCAAGCAGCAGUAGUUCUUAUCUUCUAGUGGCUUAUAUUCGGUUGAAGAAGAUACACAAACUGGCCAAAAUUUAAAUAAAAAUCAGUCAGAUAUAUUUUUGAGGAUGCACAGAACCCUUUGGGAGCACAGCAGAGUGGCCUUUCAACUGUCCUCCUGGAAUACUCCAGGGGUGGGCUGUGUUGUUGGUGAUGAGAGGUUAUGCUGGGGAGAAAAAGCUAUAGAUUGAAUUGUUUUUGUUGUUUCAUCGCUCAGUGGUGUCUGACUCUUUGCGACCCUGUGGACUGUAGCCUGCCAGGCUCCUCUGUUCAUUGGAUUUUCCUGGCAAGAAUACUGGACUGGGUUGCCAUGCCCUCCUCCAGGGGACCUUCCAUAUCCUGGGAUCAAACCCGUGUCUCCUGUGUCUCCUGCCCUGUAGGCAGCUUCUUUACCACUGAGCCACCAUGGAAGCUCUCAGAUUGAAUUUUUACCUCCUCCAAAUUUGGAUGCUGAGAUCUUAACCUUCCAGUGUGACUGUGUUUGGAGUAAGGAACACACCAGGCCUCCCUGUCCAUCACAAACUCCUGGAGUUCACUCAGACUCACAUCCAUCGAGUCAGUGAUGCCAUCCAGCCAUCUCAUCCUCUGUCAUCCCCUUCUCCUCCUGCCCCCAAUCCCUCCCAGCAUCAGAGUCUUUUCCAAUGAGUCAACUCUUCGCAUGAGGUGGCCCAAGU
ensembl:lncRNA